GAUGAACGCUGGCGGCGUGCCUAAUACAUGCAGGUAGAACGCUGAAGAGAGGAGCUUGCUCUUCUUGGACGAGUUGCGAACGGGUGAGUAACGCGUAGGUAACCUGCCUUGUAGCGGGGGAUAACUAUUGGAAACGAUAGCUAAUACCGCAUAACAAUAGGUGACACAUGUCAUUUAUUUGAAAGGGGCAAUUGCUCCACUACAAGAUGGACCUGCGUUGUAUUAGCUAGUAGGUGAGGUAACGGCUCACCUAGGCGACGAUACAUAGCCGACCUGAGAGGGUGAUCGGCCACACUGGGACUGAGACACGGCCCAGACUCCUACGGGAGGCAGCAGUAGGGAAUCUUCGGCAAUGGGGGCAACCCUGACCGAGCAACGCCGCGUGAGUGAAGAAGGUUUUCGGAUCGUAAAGCUCUGUUGUAAGUCAAGAACGAGUGUGAGAGUGGAAAGUUCACACUGUGACGGUAGCUUACCAGAAAGGGACGGCUAACUACGUGCCAGCAGCCGCGGUAAUACGUAGGUCCCGAGCGUUGUCCGGAUUUAUUGGGCGUAAAGCGAGCGCAGGCGGUUUGAUAAGUCUGAAGUUAAAGGCUGUGGCUCAACCAUAGUUUGCUUUGGAGACUGUCAAACUUGAGUGCAGAAGGUGAUAGUCGAAUUCCCAUGCGUAUCGCUGAAAUGUGUAGAUCUAUGGUGGGAUCACCGGGGGGUGAAAACGG
rnacentral:rRNA from 1 species